UACAGAGGAUGCGAGCGUUAUCCGGAUUUAUAGGGUUUAAAGGGUGCGUAGGCGGGAUGCCAAGUCAGCGGUAAAAAUGCGGUGCUCAACGCCGUCGAGCCGUUGAAACUGGCGUUCUUGAGUGGGCGAGAAGUAUGCGGAAUGCGUGGUGUAGCGGUGAAAUGCAUAGAUAUCACGCAGAACUCCGAUUGCGAAGGCAGCAUACCGGCGCCCUACUGACGCUGAGGCACGAAAGCGUGGGUAUCGAACAGG
rnacentral:rRNA from 1 species